rnacentral:rRNA from 1 species
UACAGAGGGUGCAAGCGUUGUUCGGAAUUAUUGGGCGUAAAGCGCGUGUAGGCGGCUCGUUAUGUCGGGGGUGAAAGCCCUCAGCUUAACUGAGGAAGUGCGCCCGAAACUGGCGAGCUUGAGUGUCGGAGAGGAUAGCGGAACACCCGGUGUAGAGGUGAAAUUCGUAGAUAUCGGGUAGAACACCAGUGGCGAAGGCGGCUAUCUGGACGACAACUGACGCUGAGACGCGAAAGCGUGGGGAGCAAACAGG